rnacentral:misc_RNA from 1 species
GAUGAAGAACGCAGCGAAAUGCGAUAAGUAAUGUGAAUUGCAGAAUUCAGUGAAUCAUCGAAUCUUUGAACGCACAUUGCGCCCGCUAGUAUUCUGGCGGGCAUGCCUGUUCGAGCGUCACUUCAACCAUCAAGCCCCAGGCUUGUGUUGGGGGCCUGCGGCUGCCGCAGCCCCUGAAAAGCAGUGGCGGGCUCGCUGUCAUUCCGAGCGCAGUAGUUACAUCUCGCUCCGGGCGUGGCGGUGGGCACCUGCCGUGAAACACUCCUUCUAAGGUUGACCUCGGAUCAGGUAGGGAUACCCGCUGAACUUAAGCAUAUCAAUAAGCGGAGGA